rnacentral:misc_RNA from 1 species
UUAAAAAAAAAAAAAAAAAAAACACUUUUCCGGAAAAGCGCUUUCUCCAAGUGAAAGUGCAGCAGUAACCUGUAAUUAUCGCCAUCGUCCUCUCGACCACCCUCUACCAUUCUUAGAAUCGACUACAGUUUCUUGUUUUUGCCUCAACACCCAAUGCAUGGAACUGGGUUUGCAUCAUAUUCUAUCUGCAAACACUUCGUUAUUGAGAAUUCUUUUAUAUACACACACCUGUUCAUUGAUUUUAUACAAUAAGCACUUGUGCUUUUCUUGUGUGUUUCUUUUAUUAUUAUUAUUGUAAUGAUGCAAGUUUCUUGCAAAUGCCUUUAUGGAAAUUGGAAGGAAGCUGUUCUAUAAUAAAAUGCUUAGCCAGCAUUGCAGUUUUUGCUGAAGUUUUCUAUACAUGAUUUAUUUGCUUUUUCCUCUGUUUUGGUGAAACUUGUAGAUUGUGUUGUCGUUUUUGUCAUUUGGGUUCAAUGUUUUUUCGUUCUUUAUUUGAUAGAUAAUCUCAUUUUACGAUUUGAAUUUCUAUCAAAUAUCUAGCUACCAAUAGUAAUAGAUAGAUCUGUGGUUGGUAAUUAAUUUUAUUUCUUCUAUAGUAAUGUUUGUUUCAUUUUUAUUAUUAUUAUUAUUGCCAUUCUCUGGUUCACUUUUGUUUAUUUAAUUUUGGCUCUCUUUUUUUUAUAUUACUUUCUGUGUAAAGUAUUCGCAUUUGCUUGCUUGCAGGAUGGUAGAUUUAAGAAUGGGCCUAUGGUUGAAUCUUCUAGUUUUUGUUUUGUUGUUGAUGAAGAUAGAAGGCUUUUAUGUGGGAAUUACUUAUUUGAACAAUGCAGUCGAAAAAGGAGCUGUUUGUUUGGAUGGAAGCCCCCCAGCUUACCAUUUAGAUGAGGGGUUUGGUACAGGCAUUAAUAGUUGGUUGGUUCACUUUGAGGGAGGAGGAUGGUGCAACAAUGUAACAACUUGCCUGGCCCGCAAGAAUACCCGUUUAGGUUCAUCUAAGCAAAUGGUCACACAACUUGCUUUCUCUGGGAUUUUGAGCAACAGGCGACAAUUUAAUCCAGAUUUCUACAACUGGAAUAGAGUUAAGAUCAGAUACUGUGAUGGGGCUUCAUUUACUGGUGAUGUGCAGGCAGUCAAUCCUGCUACUAACCUUCACUUCAGAGGAGCAAGGAUUUUUCUUGCUGUCAUGGAGGAUCUACUAGCUAAAGGAAUGAAAAAUGCUGAAAAUGCACUUCUUUCUGGUUGUUCAGCUGGUGGACUGGCUGCCAUUUUGCAUUGUGAUAACUUCCGAGCUCUUCUACCUAUGGGUACUAAAAUAAAAUGCCUUUCAGAUGCUGGUUAUUUUAUCAAUGUGAAUGAUGUUUCUGGAGCACCACACAUACGAAACUUCUUCAGUCAGGUGGUUUCAUUGCAUGUAUAUCCUCUUUCUUUCACCUGUUUCUACUUGGGAUUGCUUUUUUGUUUUUUUUUUCCCAGCACUGCACAGAUUAUGCCAUGUUCUUGUUCAAAGUAACAUGUUAGCUACUGAAAAAGAGUUCAAUGCCAUGGCACAUUCUAUUAGAAUGAAAGGUAAGACUCCUGAUUCAGACUUUUCAAUAUUUUCUUCAGGGAUCAGCAAAAAAUUUACCUUUUUCCUGUAUUUCGAGAUUAAACCCUGCAUUGGUAAGUGUCUUUAUUGAUGUUACUUUCUCUCUUCACCAUUUCCUCUACAGUCUUACUGAUACUUAAUGAUUUACAGUGUUUCUUCCCACAAUAUGUGGUGCAGCAAAUACGAACACCCCUUUUUGUUCUAAAUGCAGCAUAUGAUUCAUGGCAGGUAGGCAUAUUACUAGUUAUGUAUGAACAUAUAGAUAUGUGAAUACAUAAAAUGGCUUUAUGUGUCAUCUUAUCAGUUAUUGCAAUGAGAUGUCUUUACCCAUAAUGAGAUGCAGGUUGUCAGAAAUCAAUUAUCUUAUGCUCUUGUUGGUAAAUAUAUAUUGAUCUUUUUUUUCCACAUAGAUCUCCCUCAUGUCUCAAGAGUUAAAAUUGAAGGGGGAAAUUGGUACCUUCCUUUUUCUGAAGUGGAUUAAAUAAAUUGUGCUAUGUAAAUAUAGAAGAAUUUCAGGAUGUCAAUUGGAAAAUUUUGCUUUAUGUGCUUUGUACUUUUUCUCAAUUAUAUAAUUACUAUGUGAUUGACCUUCUUCUUAUUCUUUAAAACCAUAGUAUCAUUUACCGUGAAAAUUUGUGGAAUUAAUUUCUGCUGAUGCAAAAUUCAUCCUGUAUAACCCUAUUAAUAGUGCAGAGGCAUUCCAACUUCUUUGCAGCUGGUGGUUCUAUUUUGCAAAAUUGCAAGUUCUGAUUUGUGUUGGUAAUCCUUAAUCUUUUUAAUUGAUUCAGAUUAAGAAUAUUUUGGCACCGAGCGUUGCUGAUCCUCGUAGCACCUGGAAUGACUGCAAGGUUGACAUGAACAACUGUUCCCCUAUUCAACUCAAAACAAUGCAAGGUGACCAAAGGCAACCUAAUUUACUCUCUUAAGCAAUCUUCCUGAUUCAAAUUUCCUGUUUGGUUUUAGUAAGUUGUAGUAAAGAAGUUAUAGGGUAUUCUGAAGAAUAGAGUUUAGUAAUUCCACAAAAUAAAACGAAACUGAAAAAGAAAAUUUCUAAUGAUAAUUACAAACAUCGAUCAACCAAGUUGUAAAGACAGCCAUGAAUUGGCUCAGCCCUUUACUACGAGGUUACUAAUUUUUCAAUUGUUCAUUUCGUGCACAUGAUUAAACACAAAAGUUUACCAAAUUUUAUUCAUAUGUGGGAGGCCCUUCCCGCUAUUUCUACAAAAAUUUUCUAGAAGUUGAUAGUGAAAAGCUAUUCAAAGCAUUUGCAAAAAAUAGUGGUUAGAAGCUUUUCUUAGUCAUUUAUCUUGGGUUUAUUUUCAGAUUUUAGGUUGCACUUCUUGAGUGCAUUGUAUAAAUCAGCCAACUCUUCUUCCAAAGGAUUGUACAUAGACUCUUGCUAUACCCACUGUCAAACUGAAACACAGGAGACAUGGUUCAUGGCUGACUCUCCCAUGCUUAGCAAAACAAAAAUUGCAAAGGCAGUUGGAGAUUGGUUUUAUGACAGGAUUCCUUUCAAAAAGAUUGAUUGUCCUUACCCUUGCAAUCCAACCUGCCCCAACAAUGUUUUAAAUCAGCCAUAUCACCCGGAAGUAUAGUUUUUUACUGCCUCAAAAUUCAUCUCGUUUAUUUUUUAUUAUUCAAAAUUAUAGCAGAAAUGAGCUUGAUACCAGAAACGUAAGGCUUCUAAAUAAGAAAAUGACACCAUUGCACCAAACUUUUGUGCUGGGAAUCUGCAAUCAUUGUUAUUGUUUUCAAUUAUUAUUCAUAUAUAAAAUCAAAUCUUCCCCAUUUUAGUAUUAUAAGAUUAUCUUCCUCUAUAGAAGAAACCACCUGCAAUUCAUUUCUUUGUUUUUUUGUGUUGCACCUUUUACAUAAGAAACUUGCUUUUAUAUCUCUGUAUCUGCAAAUUUGCCAAAACUGGCUUUAGAUAAUGCCUGUAGGUUCUAUUUCAUUACUGAACAUUGAAAAUGACUCAUCUGAAAGAACUGUAGUAACAAAAACUUGUGAAGAAAAUUUAAUUAAAAUAUACUUUGGUAAAUUAAAUAAGCUCAUUUCCUUGGAUUAAGAGGAAAAAGAGCAGAAAAUAGCUCCAGGGAAAGACUGGACCAGCAUAAUACUAUCUUCUUUUAUGUUUAUAUGUGUGUGUCUGCAAGGAAAAAGAUUAAUGCAAACAGGAUAUGUGCUUCUUUACUUGCAUAACUUAUGUAUUCUCGCAGUAUCUAAUAAUUUUUGUGUAAAGGAAUUUGAGAGGUUGGUGCUUUUGGCUUGGCAGAAGGGACCACGAAAUGGGAGUGCAGCAACAGAACAUUUGAUUUUGGUGAAAUGGGUUUUCUGUUGGUUGAUAGCACUGCAAAUGGGGUUGGAGUGGGCAUGAAAAAGCGGAUUCAAGAAGCGAAAAGGAUUCAAUAUGGCUCAUGAGCUCAUUGGCCAGCAUCUUCAUACAAUCAGAUGCAUACAAUAUAUCUUGUCAUAGGAGAAUUCCAAAGUUGAUACCACAGAUGAAAGUACUGAAUACAUAGUUUUACCUUACAAAUCAGCUGUAAAUACUUGAAAUUUUAUUAUCUAAGUAUGUUGCCCUCUUGUUUUGUUCUUCUAUAUUUAAUGUAUUCAUGAUGUUUUGCUGUAUCCAACUGUUUGUUUUGUAUUGCUUUAACUAUUAGUGAUAGUUGAUGAAAGCAUGUAUAAUUUGAUACUGGA